rnacentral:rRNA from 1 species
UACAGAGGUCUCGAGCGUUAGGCGGAAUCACUGGGCUUAAAGCGUGUGUAGGUGGAUCGUUAAGUACCUUGUGAAAUCCCACGGCUUAACCGUGGAACUGCUUGGUAUACUGGCGGUCUUGAGUCAGCUAGGGGCUACCGGAACAAAUGGUGGAGCGGUGAAAUGCGUAGAUAUCGGGAGGAACACCAGUGGCGAAGGCGGCUACCUGGCACAUAACUGACGCUGAUACGCGAAAGCGUGGGGAGCGAACCGG